rnacentral:lncRNA from 1 species
UUUCACUCUUUUUUUUUUUUUUUUUUUUUUUUUUGGUACUUGAGUUUAUAAGGCUGGAGUUUAUGCACCUGGACCCUGGCACUACGUGAAGGGAAGGUGUUGUUCUUGGCAAAAUGCUCAGUAACAAGCCUAUCGGAUUACAGAGUGGAUUUCCUUUAUCUUGGGGCAUUGGACUCUAUUCAGGGAGCAGGAGGGAUAAGAUUUCACAGCUUGUUUGGACAUGCUAGUUACUUCUUAUUCUCAUUCUUCUGAAGAGUGUAGUCUUCUGGCCUACAUCCUAGUAGAAUCAAUGUCCAGACAAGAAAUGCCUUCAGUGUUUUAGAUGCUCUCUGCUGAACCAAAUGACUUUAUUUACCAAAAACAAAACUACUGCCUUCCAAUAGGAAGGAGGUGGCCUUUCCCAGAACUUCUAGCCAAACCAGAGUGUCCUGCUGUUUGACAGAGGUUUAGUAGUGUUUCUAUCAGGAUUCCUUAUAUAAGAAAACCUUUUUUCUUACAUUGUGUCCAAGGUGGUUUUUUCCUCAAUGGACUUCAGGGGAUUCUUUUCCUACUACUUCUUUAGGUAUAUUUUUUCCCUUGCUGUUUUCAUCACUUCAUUCUGCAGGCCAAAUCUUUACCAAAUAUUCAUGUCACUGAAAUCUUUCUGGCAAAUCUGCUAAAAUGAAUCAUUUAUUUUCCUUUGCAAAAAUCUGUUAAAAAGAAAGCAGUAUUCCUGAAAAGAGGUUUGAGGAGGUUCAAUUUUUCCAUCACUUCACCAUAACACAUGCAGACACAGACACACACACACACACACACACACACACAACUUCUAUGUGUACAUGCAUGAAACUAAAGGCACACCAUAGCGAUUGUCACAGUCCUCAUUCUUGAGUCUCUCUUGUGACUUUGGUAAGAUCAAAGGAGAAAUUCAGCCCUGAAACUGUAGAGACAUCACACAAUUUGGGGCAUUUGUCCUGAUUUAUUUAUUGUCCAUUAUAUGUGUUAUAAUUACUGGGGAGGAAAAAAAUAAUGUCCAUUAUAUGUGUCAUAAUUACAGGGGAAGAAAAAAAUAAUUGUAGGUGAUUCUUAUUUCUUCUCCAAUAACUUAUUUAUAAUUUUAAUAUUUUCUACAAUGAAAAUAUAUAACUUUUUGUUUCUUAUCCAUGAUUGUUGAGUUAAACACAUAGUUGAUAUUUCCUAUACUCUUUUUUGUUCAAUAAUAAAUGCACUAAAGUCUCUAAAAUAUUAUCUGAGUACCAUUUUGAACUAAAAUCAUAGGUGUUGGCACGUUGCAUUCUCAUGGUUUUCAAAAAUUUCUAAGUAGUUUAAUAGCCCAAAGAUUAUUUUAAAGAACAUUUUAAUACAUCCAGUUGGAUAUUUAUUUAUUGUUUUGUUUUAUUUUUGUGAAAGGAGGCUAUCUCUUUCCUUUUAUUUUUAUUAUCUAGUUUUAUUGAACUGUGUCAGAAAAUAUGAAAUAUAUUAUUGUAUUUAAAAUCUAAUGGCCAACUUUAAUAAAUAUGUCAUGGCUAUUUGAAAUUAAAGUACAUUUCCUUUUGUUAGGUACACAUUUUAAAUAUCUAUAUGGCUGUUAACUGUAUAAUUCAAAUAUUCAAAAGUUUAAAUACUUUUUAUCUGUUUAAUCUCUUGAGUAUUGAGGUAAGUAUGUUUAAGUCUCUACCAUGAUGGUUUAAUAUUCUAUUUUUACUUGUAUGGCACUUGCUUCCUGUAUAUUUUAUUGAUAUUUUAUUAGGUACAUCCAUGUUCAUGAUUGUUAAAUCUUAUUAGAGUAUUGUAACUUUACCAAAUAAAAUAACCCUCUUUUUACUUUUUA